UAUAUUGAUGACUAAUAUCAUUCUAUAAAUAUUUGUUGAUUAUGUAAACUAAUUACUAUUGCCAUUUGUAAUAUUUAAAUCAUUUAAUAAUAUCAAAUUUUCAGGAAAAAAUUAACACAGUAGUAGUAGACAGUGAUACUACUACUACUCUCUCGCUUUCCAAAACCCUUUUCCUUUCUCUCUCCCCAAUUCCAAUUCCCGAACCUCGAGGACGAAGAGGAAUUGGAAUUCUAAUUCCAAGACCCCGACGCCGCUUGAGAUUACUCUACCUCCUUAUCCCCAGUUCACAAUCGGCAUUCUCCAAGCUUCAACUGUCUGGCCAACUCCAGAUAUAAGAGGGUUAUCAACUUAUUGGCUUGUUGGAGGAAUUAGUUGGGGAAGCAUUCUUCAGAUGUUUGGAAUUUGGUAACACAUUGUGUGAUGUGGAUUAUUUGGAGGGAGAGAAAUAAUCGCAUUUUUAAAGAUUCGAUGCUUUCCGGGGAUAAGCUCCUAGCUUUAUUUGCGACAACUUUGUUUGAUUGGUCAUGUGCGUGGGGAUUUACUCCUACGGAAUCCAUUCGUCUGUUUUUAGAUUCACUUUCUUCUUGUACAUAAGUUGUUUAGUUUCUCUUGCUUGUACAUAUUCCCUCGUCCACUUCAUUUCUUUGAUGGAAAAUAAAGACCAGCUGAAUUGUUCAUGAUCCACUGUUAGUGGGUUUUUUAGUUUUACCUUGUAAUGUAUGGUUUUAACAAACAAAUAGAGAGAGAAAAGCAGAUAUGGUAGCUGAAAAUGUGGUAGUCUUGCUGAUGACAUCAAGUAGAGGCUAUCUUAUCGUACUGUCCACAUGAUUUCAUUUUUUUUUUCGUGAAAAACUCUUUGGUGUGGCAGAUAUCUGGAUUCUCUACGUUUUAUUAAUUGAGAUCAUUGUUCGAAAGAAA